rnacentral:rRNA from 1 species
GUAUUACCGCGGCUGCUGGCACGAAGUUAGCCGGUGCUUAUUCUGUUGGUAACGUCAAAACAGCAAGGUAUUAACUUACUGCCCUUCCUCCCAACUUAAAGUGCUUUACAAUCCGAAGACCUUCUUCACACACGCGGCAUGGCUGGAUCAGGCUUUCGCCCAUUGUCCAAUAUUCCCCACUGCUGCCUCCCGUAGGAGUCUGGACCGUGUCUCAGUUCCAGUGUGACUGAUCAUCCUCUCAGACCAGUUACGGAUCGUCGCCUUGGUAGGCCUUUACCCCACCAACUAGCUAAUCCGACCUAGGCUCAUCUGAUAGCGUGAGGUCCGAAGAUCCCCCACUUUCUCCCUCAGGACGUAUGCGGUAUUAGCGCCCGUUUCCGGACGUUAUCCCCCACUACCAGGCAGAUUCCUAGGCAUUACUCACCCGUCCGCCGCUGAAUCCAGGAGCAAGCUCCCUUCAUCCGCUCGACUUGCAUGUGUUAGGCCUGCCGCCAGCGUUCAAUCUGAGCCAGGAUCAAACCCUU